UUUUUUUUGUCUUUUCUAGGGCCAUACCCUCAGCAUAUGGAGGUUCCCAGGCUAGGAGUCUGAUUGGAGCUGUAAGCCACCGGCCUACGCCAAAGCCACAGUGACAUGGGAUCCAAGCUGCCUCUGCGACCUACACCAUAGCUCACAGCAAUGCUGAAUCCUUAACCUUCUGAGUGAGGCCAAGGAUUGAACCCGCAACCUCAUGGUUCUUAGUCGGAUUUGUUAACCACUGAGCCAUGACAGGAACUCUGGGAAUAUAUUUUUUAUAGUAUUUAACAACAUGUUAACCAUUACUUAGGUAAAGCUGCUGCAGAGCACUAGACCCUUAGAAACAUCAUAUGAUGUCAGGCCCCUGUGUUUUUGUGGGGUUCACCUACCCUUCCGGGAUGUGAAAGUGUCUUGCUAAGGCAUCUAGGUCAUCAGCCAUUUCCUGCUUACCAGGUCCCAUCACUUGUGAAUCUAACAGUGAUUCAAGACAAACUCAUUCACCAAACCCAGAGAUGUGGGUGUUCUCUUUUGUUUGUUAUUAUUAUUACUAUUAUUAUUAUUAUAUAGAUCAGGCAGGACCUGCAUGGGCUGCCCUAUAAUUUGGCCAUGGGGAACUCAUAAUUACCAGCUUCUGCCAGCUCCAGCAGUCCAAAUUCUUCUGAAAAUGAUUCUGACCUUGCUGCCUAUUCUUGUCAUGACGCUCACUUUGCAUCUGUCCAUUAAUGGCCUCUCCUGAGCCUCUGCCAUAUGCCUUGUGUCAUGUUUUUUGUCCCACAGAAAUCAGGGUGCUCAUGUCAGUUAGGUAUUUCCUGACACCCACUCUAGCAAUAUUUAGAUAUGCUGGUGCACCCCUUUCCAAUAUUUCCUAAGGUCUGGGUGGUUUCUCAUAGAUGUCUUGGUGAACAAAGUGUCUUCUAGCCCUUUGAAGGAUAUAGCUAGGAGAUGAGUGAGAAUUUCACCAUUAAUAAUUUACUCUAAGAGUUCCCAUCAUGGCUCAGUGGUUAACAAAUCUGACUAGAAUCCAUUAGGAGGCAGGUUUGAUCCCUGGCCUCGCUCAGUGGGUUGAGGAUCCAGUGUUGCCGUGAGCUGUGGUGUAGGUUGGAGAUGUGGCUGGGAUCCUGUGUUGCUGUGGAUCUAGCUCUGAUUUGACCCCUAGCCUGGGAACCUCCAUAUGCCUCGAGUGCAGCCCUAAAGACAACAAAAAUAAUAAUAAUAAUUUACUCCAGAGUUCCACUGGCUCAGAGGAAACAAAUCUGACUAGCAUCCAUGAGGACGCAGGUAAGGCCCUAAAAAGACCACACACACAAAAAAAAGUUUACUCCAACAUUCCUAUCUCCCUAAGUCUUUGAAUUAUUCUUUUCACGUUACACCAAGGAAUUUCCAGCUUCUCAACUUCAAUUAGCAUGGGUAAGCUAGGGCAGACCACAAAAGUGAGCCCAUGUGUGUACACCGAUGAGAAUGACAACAGACUUGGCUAAGACUUCCCCAGCUUAGGUUUGCAGUUGCUGCAAAAUACACACAAAUGAUUGCUGUUACACAUUGGUGUGAGCAGUCAAAACCUAAGGAUCCCCAUUGUUCAUCACAGAGAUACAUCAGGCCUCACAGAAUAAUGAAUUCCUCAGGUCAAUAGAGUUUAGAACAUGGCUGGCUGUCUUUCAUAUCAAUUUAAGCUGGAAAUGGGAGUUUCCCAUCAUGGCUCAGUAGUUAAUUAACCUGACUAGUCUCCAUGAGGACUCGGGUUUGAUCCCUGGCCCCAUUCAGUGUGUUAAGGAUCUGGUGUUGCUGUGAGCUGUGGUGUAAGGUCACAGACGUGGCUCAGAUCCCGAGCUGCUGUGACUGUGGUGUAGGCCAGCAGCUACAACUCCAAUUCCACCCCUAGCCUGGGAACCUCCAUAUCUGCCAUGGAUGCAGCCCUAAAAAGAUAAAAAACAUAACAAAAAAUUUAGACUGAAAGAAGGAAAGCCCUUGCCAUCAUUUAGGGGUCCCCUUAUUUCCAUAAAAGGAAUUUCUUAGUCAACCACAAAUAUAUAAUCUGGUUCCUGCUGCUUUUAUAGCUUUCUGCAUCAUCAAGCCUGUUUGAAAAUUUGUCAUAGCAGGUCUGGGCAACGAUUUGCCUCCAUUGGCUUCAGUGAGCCAGAUUUUAAUAUAAAAAUGGGCCAUGCAAUUAAAUCGCCCCUAGCUGUUUGAUCUAGCCCAGUGUUUUCAGAAUCUGUGGUAAUUUCUUCCACAUUGAUAAUUUCAGUCUAAUCUAAAAUUUUUACCUUCUCUAUUGGACCCAGCACCAUCAGAAAACCACUUAGGUAUUCCAUCUUUUUUUUAAUAAUAUAAAUUAGCAAAACCAUCUCCCUUCAAUUUGACUUUGUAAUUGGCCAGUCAGGGCAAUGUGGGCUCUGAUAAUAGUUAUAUUUUGGCAAGCAAUGCAGGGCAGAGGGCAAGUGAAGAAGUGACUUACUCUUCCAAGCAGGUUAAGCUGUAGGGUCUUCAAAGAAUGCAAGAUAGAGUCGUAAGAAUGGAAGCAGGGCAACUUCCUCCAGCAAAGGAGGCUCAGAAUAUGCUAGAGAUUCCAGACAUGAUAUAUUUCAAUUGUGGGGAGGAGGGGCGGGGCAACACUUUCCCAGACAGAGUUCUAACUUUCACUUUUUUAGAACUGAGGAAUCUGUGAAUUCUCCUAAUAGAGUUUGUCAAUCGAAAGAUCCAGCUUUGAGUUUGGUUUUAUCUACCUUAGCCCAGUGGCUGCAAAAGACAAGACUUUUCUUUUUUUUUUAAGUACCACCAUAGAAAGUUUUUUGUUUCCAGCUGGUCCUUAGCCAGGAAUUUAGGACUCUGAGCUGGACGUUCUCUUUCUUGAGGCUGUCCAGCAGCAACUACCCACUUGUACAGAUCUUUAGUCCCUCAUUGCUUUCAUAUUGAUCUCUGUCAGCCGCCACUUGUUUCUCCAGGGAAUUGCCUUUAAUGAGCACUUCAGAUGCUCUUCUGGUUGACAGUCUUGCCAUGUGUGGCAUGGGCUCCCAGAGAUCUGUCCUGAACACUAAAUGGAUUUUUUUUUGCUGUCACUGCCGAGUGUUCAAAUGAUGAAUCACAGAUUCUGAUUGUUUCCUGAGAGGCUGUUGCCUGCAGUUGCUCCUGUCAUUGGUUUCUAUAUGAAUCAAAGUCUUGUUAUAAGCAAUAGAAACCAACUCAAACUAUUUCGAGUGGAGAGCAGAUUUAUUUUUUUAAAAAAUACAUGGAGUAGAUAAAAGACUCUGCAGAAGCCAGAAAAUCGGGUUUAGAGAUUGCAGAUGAGCUGGAAACCAUGCCUAAACUCAUGCCAUAGAAGGAGCCCACUGGCCACACACACUGCCACUUGCACCAUUAACUUCAGUCUUGGACAAGGACAGAAAAAAAGUCUGUUCUUGCUGCCUCUGGGACAUGGUUGCAGGAACCACCACUGUGGUCUCCUGUACCAGAAUAGAAGCAGUGUGGUCUCUACUUUUUUGUAUCACUAGUUUCCAAAUGAAAGUCCUGAAGAGAGGCAUCUACUUGGGAGGACUUUGGUCACAUGUCUCCUCUCUAGAUGGAAGACUUACUGGCAAAUAGUACAUUCAGCUUCCAUAUUGGAAGUGGAGGUUUGCAAAUAUAGGAACUGGUGCUUGAAUGCUGAGGAGCCAAAAGGAAUGACAAAUGACCAGUUCAGCUUCUAAGAUCAACUGACAUUUACAAAAAGAAGAAAUUUCUCUUUCAAACUCAACAGUAAAAAGGGCCUUCAAGUUCUCCAUUUUAUUUACUGGUUUAGAGUAUAUUUUUGCUCAUCUUUCCUUAUUUGCACUCAGUAGGACAGCUUUUUAUUUUUUAUUUUUUUACUUUUUAUUUUUUAGUAGGACAGUUUUGGUUUUUUUUAAAUCAAAUGGCUAUAUUUUGCUGUGAGCCACAAGGGAAGUCCAAAUAGCUGUAUUUUGUCUCUGUACUUUAUUGAUAUACUGCACCUAUGCCAUCUUCAAGUAUUAGAUUUUAUACAGAUUAAUUCCAAUUUUUAUUUCUUACAUGUUAACAUGUUUGAAAAAUAGUGGAGUCAUAAAAUAAAAUAGAAGCGCAGUCUUUUUUUUUUUUUUUCGGCCACACCUGCAGUAUGCGGAAGUUCCCAGGCCAGGUAUCAAAUCUGAGCCACAGUGGUGACAAUGCAGGAUCUUUAACCUGCUGCACCACACAGGAACUCCAGAAACACGCUCUUUAAAAAAAAAAAAAAUUUUUUUUUUUAAGCCUUCCCGAGUUUGCUUUAUUGUAAGUAGAACUGAUGAUGGUCCCACCCCUACACAGGAAAUAGGAUUUAGUGAGUGGCAGCCACAGCCACACAGUGAGUCCUUAAGUGGCGGUCCAUUUCUAACCCUGAGCCUCUAGACAGCACACUAAUCCUGGCAAUAUGAGAGAGCACGCAGAUCAAAGCCCAUUUGGAGAGAGAAAGAAAAUAAUCCCAAACUGCUCCUUUGUUGUCACAUUAGGCCAUUAAUAUACAUCAUGUCUGUUUAAUUUAAAACUCCUGCCUAGUGCCAGUACGACUUAAUUGCACACCUCCUGAAGACCCGGCAUUAAGUUACUGUGUACUUGGAUGGGAAACAUGAUUUGUGCCAUAGUUAAUGAUGAGGUUUGGAGUCAAGUCCAUGGUCAUGCAUCCUCUGUACUCUCUUCUGGCCUGACUACAUGUCCCUCAUAAAUAACAUCUUCAGUGGAUGAGAGGACCAUAAAUCUGUCCAAAGAGGAGUCUCUCCACUCUGUCCUGCUUUCUUCCUGGACACUGCCUUUUGAUUCUCUAAAGUAUAAUGAGAAGUCUGUUAAGUAAGUAUCUUUCUUUUCUCUCCCAGUGGCCUGCUCAUUUCCUUCCUAUCCUUCUUCUGUCUUAUGUUGGGGAGAGUGGGAUCAGUUGUUAGGUUUUUAACAGUAUCUUUAGAAUAUAUCCAUCAUUCAGACUAUCAUCUCUAUUCCUAUUCUAAGUAAUUUUACAGCAUGGUCCUAUUUUUUUUAUUAUAGAAAGUUUCUCUUAGUCUUAUCAAGCUUUGUACAAAAACUGGAGGAGUAGUUGAAAUAAUUGAAAAAGAUUAAAGAAAAUACAAGGGCUUAAAAAUUAUAUUAAAUGGCAUCAUGAACUAUAUUUACCUCUAGCCAACUCAGGAAAUGCAGAAAUGGCAUAUCAAAUUUUAGCAGAAAAAAACCUCAUGCUUUCACCUCUUGUCCUUAUAGAACAGCAGAAGAAGCAGCUGGAAGUUCAUAGAAAGAAGCUGGGAGGAGAAACCAGAGGUGCUGUAGAGAGAUUAGAGUUAUGUGAACAGCUCUGAGUCAGGGGUAAGGAUGCUGAAUAAGAAAAGCUAGUGUGCAUAUGUGGGAAUUGGUGCCCUCAGGAAAGGGACAUCCAAUAUGAGAUAACCAGCCUGGUCUGAAACCAUGAGCCUCAUGCACAAUACUUAGGCAUUUACAGACAGUUG
rnacentral:lncRNA from 1 species